GAUGAACGCUAGCGGCGUGCCUAAUACAUGCAAGUCGAGCGAACAGACGAGGAGCUUGCUCCUCUGACGUUAGCGGCGGACGGGUGAGUAACACGUGGAUAACCUACCUAUAAGACUGGGAUAACUUCGGGAAACCGGAGCUAAUACCGGAUAAUAUAUUGAACCGCAUGGUUCAAUAGUGAAAGACGGUUUUGCUGUCACUUAUAGAUGGAUCCGCGCCGCAUUAGCUAGUUGGUAAGGUAACGGCUUACCAAGGCAACGAUGCGUAGCCGACCUGAGAGGGUGAUCGGCCACACUGGAACUGAGACACGGUCCAGACUCCUACGGGAAGCAGCAGUAGGGAAUCUUCCGCAAUGGGCGAAAGCCUGACGGAGCAACGCCGCGUGAGUGAUGAAGGUCUUCGGAUCGUAAAACUCUGUUAUUAGGGAAGAACAAAUGUGUAAGUAACUAUGCACGUCUUGACGGUACCUAAUCAGAAAGCCACGGCUAACUACGUG
rnacentral:rRNA from 1 species